rnacentral:rRNA from 1 species
UGGGGAAUAUUGGACAAUGGGCGCAAGCCUGAUCCAGCCAUGCCGCGUGAGUGAUGAAGGCCUUAGGGUUGUAAAGCUCUUUCGCCGACGAAGAUAAUGACGGUAGUCGGAGAAGAAGCCCCGGCUAACUUCGUGCCAGCAGCCGCGGUAAUACGAAGGGGGCUAGCGUUGUUCGGAAUCACUGGGCGUAAAGCGCACGUAGGCGGAUUGUUAAGUCAGGGGUGAAAGCCUGGAGCUCAACUCCAGAACUGCCCUUGAUACUGGCAAUCUCGAGUCCGGAAGAGGUAAGUGGAACUGCGAGUGUAGAGGUGAAAUUCGUAGAUAUUCGCAAGAACACCAGUGGCGAAGGCGGCUUACUGGUCCGGUACUGACGCUGAGGUGCGAAAGCGUGGGGAGCAAAACAGGAUUAGAUACCCUGGUAGUCCACGCCGUAAACGAUGGAGGCUAGCCGUUGGCGAGCAUGCUCGUCAGUGGCGCAGCUAACGCAUUAAGCCUCCCGCCUGGGGAGUACGGUCGCAAGAUUAAAAACUUAAAUGAAUUGACGGGGUCAUAGCUGUUUCCU